GCCUUCGUGGUGUAGUGGUCAGCACGCUCGACGCGUAACCCAGAGGUCCGUGGUUCGAUUCCCGGCGAAGGCG
rnacentral:tRNA from 1 species